AUUAUGGUCGGACGUGCCGAGUGGAGCUCUGCUGAAGGACUUAUAUGCUCCUUUCAUGGAUCCAAAACAAAGGUCCAGACACUUUGCAUGUGGAGUGGGACACGUCACAUAUUGAUAAAAAAUAGCCAAGAACUUUGACGGUUUGCAGUGAUUGAAAUCACCCAGAAUAAAGCACGGUGCGUCCGGCACUAACCCCUGCAGCCGCUGCACUGUCUUUAGCAUAGCCUGAGUUGCUACAUCAGCAUUAGCCUUCGGGUGAACAUAAACAACAGUAAUAAAUAACUGUGGAAAUUCCCUGGGAAGAUAAAACGGUCGCAGGGAUACGGACAAUAGUUCAGCGUCUUUGGUGCACAGUGUCUUAUCGUAUUACAGCAGUUUUUAUUGACGUAGAGACACACACCUCCGCCCAGUGACUUGCGGGUCACUGCGGGGUCUCUAUCAAGGCGGAAGGGAACUCCAAGUCCAUCAAUCUCCAGUGCUGACUGUGGAUCUUGCUCCUUAAGCCAGGUCUCCAUGAGGGCCAGGAUACAUGCGUCCCUGUACUCUGCCAGAUACUUGACGUUACCCUGAAGCUCAUCCACCUUAUUCCUGAACAUUAGCCAGGAUGACAGUGGGUAGAGGUAUCCGACGGUGGCCCUGCCGCUCUGUCGCAGUCCGCCGCGUUUCCCCCUUUUCCUCGCACGCCUCGGCCCGUCCGACCUGCUCCGGUUUUCCGUGAAGGGAUUCAGCCGACCGAUCUCCGUGGGGACAGCUGUCGAGGGAUCCACGGUGCCCAACCCGGAGUCACGGAACAAAAGUAGGAAGUGGCGGCUAUACUGGAUUUCAUCUGUCAGAAAUGAUCCAACGGCUGAGUGGCCUUGGAGGAGGACUGAGCGGCCUUGUAGGAGGACUGAGCAGCCUUGUUGGAGGACUGAGCGGCCUUGAAGGAGGACUGAGCGGCCUUGGAGGAGGAUUGAGCACCUUGGAGCAGGACUGAGCGGCCUUGAAGGAGGACUGAGCGGCCUUGGAGGUGGACUGGGCAGCCUUGGAGCAGGACUGAGCGGCCUUGAAGGAGGACUGAGCGGCCUUGGAGGUGGACUGAGCGGCCUUGGAGGUGGACUGGGCGGCCUUGGAGCAGGACUGAGCGGCCUUGAAGGAGGACUGAGCGGCCUUGGAGGUGGACUGGGCGGCCUUGGAGCAGGACUGAGUGGCCUUGGAGGAGGACUGAGCGACCUUGGAGCAGGACUGAGCGGCCUUGAAGGAGGACUGAGCGGCCUCGGAGCAGGACUGAGCGCCUUGGAGCAGGACUGCUCUCUGAGUGUUUUUCUUGUCGUCUCUGCAGAAUGAACCAGGGCCAGGAAACGCUAUUAAAAAUGCCACUUGUUGAUUGAAUUUCAUAUUUAGCACUCCGCUCACUGUCUGCCUGUUUAUGAAAGUAAUUAUGGUCCUGGG
ensembl:lncRNA